UACCGGCUGGGCUUCGGCGGCGCCUACGAGCCCUUCGAGGCCGCGGGCAAGUUCGGCGGCGGCGCGGCGCGCUUCUCCUACACCUCGCAGCACUCGGACUACGGGCAGCGCUUCCAGCAGCGCAUGCAGACGCACGUCUAGGGCGGGCAGGGCUCCGCGGGCACCGGCGGCCGGCCCCUGAUAUUCAGGGGUUCCUUGGCUCGCCGACCCGGCCCCGGCGCCCCCCCGGUUUCCUCGGAGCUUCCGUUCAUUCCGUUUCUUUUGCCGGUACUCUCCCGUCCCCCCCACCCCGCCCCGCGGGCGCAGGGGAGGGGUGGGCGCCGUGUCACCCCCUCCGUGCUGCCCACCGGGGUUUGAGCCCUGUUGUUGGUCCCGGAGCUUGGCCAGGGAGGAGCUCUGCGCAUCCCUAAAUCCAGAGGAUGUGCAAAUCCCAAAAACAGCCCCAUCCCGACCAUUCCCAUUGGGAUCAACACAUCCCUAAAUCCAGGGGAUGUGCAAAUCCCAAAACAGCCCCGUCCCGACCAUUCCCAUUGGGAUCUGUGUGUCCCUAAUUCCAGAGGGGUGUGCAAAUCCCAAAAACAGCCCCGUUCCGACCAUUCCCAUUGGGAUCAGCGUGUCCCUAAAUCCAGGGGGAUGCGCAAAUCCUAAACACAGCCCCGUCUCGACCAUUCCCAUUCCCAUUGGGAUCAGCGUGUUCCCAAAUCCAGAGGGAUGCACAAAUCCCAAAAAAACCUCCCAUCCGAAUCAUCCCCAUCCUGAACCAUUCCCAUUCCCCUAACCAUUCCCAUUCCAGUUGGGAUCCAUGUGUCCCCUAAAUCCAGAGGGACACACAAACCCCAUUCCCAUUCCCAUUCCCAUUCCCUGUGCCUUGCUCUCGGGGCCGCCCCUCCCUCGGCCUGGCUGNNNNNNNNNNNNNNNNNNNNNNNNNNNNNNNNNNNNNNNNNNGGCACCGGGGACCCAAUUUAGGAUUGGGAAUUUGGGGGGGGAUGAGUCUUGGAGGGAAUCCCCAGACCCAAUUCCCAAAGGGACCCAAUUUAGGAUUGGGAAUUUGNNNNNNNNNNNNNNNNNNNNCCGGCCAGAACUUCGGGAUCAGGAGCUGGGCUGGGGACUGGGGGCACCGGGGACCCAAUUUAGGAUUGGGAAUUUGGGGGGGGGGCUGAGUCUUGGAGGGAAUUCCCAGCCCCAAUUCCCAGAUUCCCAAAUGAGCCCAAAUUUUGGAUGGGGGAUUUUGGGGGGUGAAUUUCGGAGGGAAUUCCCAGAGGAUUCCCAGCCCCAGUUUGGGAUUUUGGGGGGUGAAUUUCAGGGAGAAUUCCCAGAGGAUUCCCAGCCCCAGUUUGGGAUUUUGGGGGGUGAAUUUCAGGGAGAAUUCCCAGAGG
rnacentral:lncRNA from 1 species